CCUACGGGUGGCAGCCGUGAGGAAUAUUGGUCAAUGGCCGGAAGGCUGAACCAGCCAAGCCGCGUGAAGGACGAAGGUGCCAAGCAUUGUAAACUUCUUUUGUCAAGGGACAAAAUCAGGCUCGAGAGCCUGACCGAGGGUACUUGAAGAAAAAGCAUCGGCUAACUCCGUUCCAGCAGCCGCGGUAAUACGGAGGAUGCGAGCGUUAUCCGGUGUUAUUGGGUUUAAAGGGUGCGUAGGCGGACUGUUAAGUCCGCGGUAAAAGCCCGGGGCGCAACCCCGGCGAGCCGUUGAAACUGGGUGUCUUGAGAUGUCGAGAGGUAUGCGGAAUGCGCAGUGUAGCGGUGAAAUGCUUAGAGAGUGCGCAGAACUCAGAUUGCGAAGGCAGCAUACCGGCGGCGAUCUGACGCUGAGGCACGAAAGCGUGGGUAUCGAACAGGAUUAGAGACCCUGGUAGUC
rnacentral:rRNA from 1 species